AGAGUUUGAUCAUGGCUCAGAUUGAACGCUGGCGGCAGGCCUAACACAUGCAAGUCGAACGGUAACAGGAAACAGCUUGCUGUUUCGCUGACGAGUGGCGGACGGGUGAGUAAUGUCUGGGAACUGCCUGAUGGAGGGGGAUAACUACUGGAAACGGUAGCUAAUACCGCAUAACGUCGCAAGACCAAAGAGGGGGGCCCUCGGGCCUCUUGCCAUCGGAUGUGCCCAGAUGGGAUUAGCUUGUUGGUGGGGUAACGGCUCACCAAGGCGACGAUCCCUAGCUGGUCUGAGAGGAUGACCAGCCACACUGGAACUGAGACACGGUCCAGACUCCUACGGGAGGCAGCAGUGGGGAAUAUUGCACAAUGGGCGCAAGCCUGAUGCAGCCAUGCCGCGUGUAUGAAGAAGGCCUUCGGGUUGUAAAGUACUUUCAGCGGGGAGGAAGGGAGUAAAGUUAAUACCUUUGCUCAUUGACGUUACCCGCAGAAGAAGCACCGGCUAACUCCGUGCCAGCAGCCGCGGUAAUACGGAGGGUGCAAGCGUUAAUCGGAAUUACUGGGCGUAAAGCGCACGCAGGCGGUUUGUUAAGUCAGAUGUGAAAUCCCCGGGCUCAACCUGGGAACUGCAUCUGAUACUGGCAAGCUUGAGUCUCGUAGAGGGGGGUAGAAUUCCAGGUGUAGCGGUGAAAUGCGUAGAGAUCUGGAGGAAUACCGGUGGCGAAGGCGGCCCCCUGGACGAAGACUGACGCUCAGGUGCGAAAGCGUGGGGAGCAAACAGGAUUAGAUACACUGGUAGUCCACGCCGUAAACGAUGUCGACUUGGAGGUUGUGCCCUUGAGGCGUGGCUUCCGGAGCUAACGCGUUAAGUCGACCGCCUGGGGAGUACGGCCGCAAGGUUAAAACUCAAAUGAAUUGACGGGGGCCCGCACAAGCGGUGGAGCAUGUGGUUUAAUUCGAUGCAACGCGAAGAACCUUACCUGGUCUUGACAUCCACGGAAGUUUUCAGAGAUGAGAAUGUGCCUUCGGGAACCGUGAGACAGGUGCUGCAUGGCUGUCGUCAGCUCGUGUUGUGAAAUGUUGGGUUAAGUCCCGCGACGAGCGCAACCCUUAUCCUUUGUUGCCAGCGGUCCGGCCGGGAACUCAAAGGAGACUGCCAGUGAUAAACUGGAGGAAGGUGGGGAUGACGUCAAGUCAUCAUGGCCCUUACGACCAGGGCUACACACGUGCUACAAUGGCGCAUACAAAGAGAAGCGACCUCGCGAGAGCAAGCGGACCUCAUAAAGUGCGUCGUAGUCCGGAUUGGAGUCUGCAACUCGACUCCAUGAAGUCGGAAUCGCUAGUAAUCGUGGAUCAGAAUGCCACGGUGAAUACGUUCCCGGGCCUUGUACACACCGCCCGUCACACCAUGGGAGUGGGUUGCAAAAGAAGUAGGUAGCUUAACCUUCGGGAGGGCGCUUACCACUUUGUGAUUCAUGACUGGGGUGAAGUCGCAACGAGGUA
rnacentral:rRNA from 1 species